rnacentral:rRNA from 1 species
UAGCGCGGUGGUCCCACCUGACCCCAUGCCGAACUCAGAAGUGAAACGCCGUAGCGCCGAUGGUAGUGUGGGGUUUCCCCAUGCGAGAGUAGGGAACUGCCAGGU